GAUAAACGCCGGCGGCGUGCCUAAUACAUGCAAGUCGAGCGAACGGACGAGAAGCUUGCUUCUCUGAUGUUAGCGGCGGACGGGUGAGUAACACGUGGAUAACCUACCUAUAAGACUGGGAUAACUUCGGGAAACCGGAGCUAAUACCGGAUAAUAUUUUGAACCGCAUGGUUCAAAAGUGAAAGACGGUCUUGCUGUCACUUAUAGAUGGAUCCGCGCUGCAUUAGCUAGUUGGUAAGGUAACGGCUUACCAAGGCAACGAUGCAUAGCCGACCUGAGAGGGUGAUCGGCCACACUGGAACUGAGACACGGUCCAGACUCCUACGGGAGGCAGCAGUAGGGAAUCUUCCGCAAUGGGCGAAAGCCUGACGGAGCAACGCCGCGUGAGUGAUGAAGGUCUCCGGAUCGUAAAACUCUGUUAUUAGGGAAGAACAUAUGUGUAAGUAACUGUGCACAUCUUGACGGUACCUAAUCAGAAAGCCACGGCUAACUACGUGCCAGCAGCCGCGGUAAUACGUAGGUGGCAAGCGUUAUCCGGAAUUAUUGGGCGUAAAGCGCGCGUAGGCGGUUUUUUAAGUCUGAUGUGAAAGCCCACGGCUCAACCGUGGAGGGUCAUUGGAAACUGGAAAACUUGAGUGCAGAAGAGGAAAGUGGAAUUCCAUGUGUAGCGGUGAAAUGCGCAGAGAUAUGGAGGAACACCAGUGGCGAAGGCGACUUUCUGGUCUGUAACUGACGCUGAUGUGCGAAAGCGUGGGGAUCAAACAGGAUUAGAUACCCUGGUAGUCCACGCCGUAAACGAUGAGUGCUAAGUGUUAGGGGGUUUCCGCCCCUUAGUGCUGCAGCUAACGCAUUAAGCACCCCGCCUGGGGAGUACGACCGCAAGGUUGAAACUCAAAGGAAUUGACGGGGACCCGCACAAGCGGUGGAGCAUGUGGUUUAAUUCGAAGCAACGCGAAGAACCUUACCAAAUCUUGACAUCCUUUGACAACUCUAGAGAUAGAGCCUUCCCCUUCGGGGGACAAAGUGACAGGUGGUGCAUGGUUGUCGUCAGCUCGUGUCGUGAGAUGUUGGGUUAAGUCCCGCAACGAGCGCAACCCUUAAGCUUAGUUGCCAUCAUUAAGUUGGGCACUCUAAGUUGACUGCCGGUGACAAACCGGAGGAAGGUGGGGAUGACGUCAAAUCAUCAUGCCCCUUAUGAUUUGGGCUACACACGUGCUACAAUGGACAAUACAAAGGGCAGCGAAACCGCGAGGUCAAGCAAAUCCCAUAAAGUUGUUCUCAGUUCGGAUUGUAGUCUGCAACUCGACUACAUGAAGCUGGAAUCGCUAGUAAUCGUAGAUCAGCAUGCUACGGUGAAUACGUUCCCGGGUCU
rnacentral:rRNA from 1 species